GCUGUAGUUCGGUGGCAGAGCAUCUGCUUGGCAUGCAGAAGGCCCCAGGUUUGAUUCCCAACAGCUCCA